rnacentral:misc_RNA from 1 species
GAUGAAGAACGUAGCGAAAUGCGAUACGUAAUGUGAAUUGCAGAUUUCAGUGAAUCAUCGAAUCUUUGAACGCACAUUGCGCCCGCUAGUAUUCUGGCGGGCAUGCCUGUUCGAGCGUCAUUUCAACCAUCAAGCCCUAGGCUUGCGUUGGAGCCCUGCGGCUGCCGCAGACUCCCAAAUCCAGUGGCGGGCUCGUCGUCGUACCGAGUGCAGUAAACAUCCUCGCUCAGGGAACGUGACGGGUUCUUGCCGUGAAACCCCCCACAUAUCAAGGUUGACCUCGGAUCAGGUAGGAAUACCCGCUGAACUUAAGCAUAUCAAUAAGCGGAGGA